rnacentral:rRNA from 1 species
UACGGAGGGGGCAAGCGUUGUUCGGAAUUACUGGGCGUAAAGGGUCUGUAGGUGGCUUGCUAAGUCAGACGUGAAAUCCCUCAGCUUAACUGGGGAACUGCGUCUGAGACUGGCGAGCUUGAGGGCAGGAGAGGAACGCGGAAUUCCAGGUGUAGCGGUGAAAUGCGUAGAUAUCUGGAGGAACACCGGUGGCGAAGGCGGCGUUCUGGACUGCAUCUGACACUGAAAGACGAAAGCCAGGGGAGCAAACGGG